AUGUCUCCCCUCGAGAGCUACCGCAUCAUCGACUGUCGCCACGGGCUCGUCCUUUUCCUCGCCCACAGGAUGAUGCGCCGCUUAGUUUUGUGGGACCCCGUCGCGCGCGAGCAGCGCCGGCUGUUCUUCCCGCCGGAGCUGGACAACGCCCAGAUGUUCUUCUUCAACGGGGCGGUGCGUCGCCCUGCCCGCCGCCAAGGAUGGCAUUUCCAGGUGGCCCUGAUAGCCCGUGACGCAUUAUGCACAAGAGUUUCGGUGUGGCUUUACUCAUCAGAGACCGCAGUAUGGGGCAACAUCAACUCACUGCAGCUGCAAUCGAUUCAGUCUAUGCCACAACCCAGCACUUUGGUUGGGAAUUCCUUUUGCUGGUUAUUUACCGUGGAUCAUGGCUGUGUCAUACUUGAGUUUGAUCUUGAUAGGCAGAGCCUAGCUGUGACAGAGCUGCCACCACACAUAGAUAUGGAAAUCGACUUUCACAAGUUAUGGAUUAUGCCCUCCCAGGGUGGUGGGCUUGGCUUCAUCCAUCUCUCACAACACUUCCACGCCCAAUUAUGGAAGAGAGUGCCUGAUUCUGAUGGUUUGGCUGUAUGGGUGCCCGACAGAGCUGUUGAAUUCGGGGAACUUAGAUCAUCUUGCAAAGGCGACUUCCUCACUUUGGUUGGGUUUGACGAGGAGAGUAAUGCAAUCCUUGUGCUGACAGCUUCUGGUGUCUUCAUGGUCUAUCUCCAGUCAACGGAGUUCAAGAAACUUUCUGAUCCAAUGUCCUUCUGUCACCAUUAUCCAUUUGCAUGUUUCUAUCCUGCAGGUACUGGCAUUAUUGAUGGACAUGAUGGAAAUGAAGUCUUGAACAAUAUGUGA
rnacentral:rRNA from 1 species